CCUACGGGAGGCAGCAGUGGGGAAUAUUGCACAAUGGGGGAAACCCUGAUGCAGCGACGCCGCGUGAGUGAAGAAGUAUUUCGGUAUGUAAAGCUCUAUCAGCAGUGAAGAAAAAUGACGGUACCAGACUAAGAAGCCCCGGCUAACUACGUGACAGCAGCCGCGGUAAUACGUAGGGGGCAAGCGUUAUCCGGAUUUACUGGGUGUAAAGGGAGCGGCGACGGUAUGGCAAGUCUGAAGUGAAAGCCCAGGGCUUAACCCUGGGACUGCUGUGGAAACUGUUAGACUAGAGUGCUGGAGAGGUAAGUGGAAUUCCUGGUGUAGCGGUGAAAAGCGUAGAUAUUAGGAGGAACACCAGUGGCGAAGGCGGCUUACUGGACAGUAACUGACGUUGAGGCUCGAAAGCGUGGGGAGCAAACAGGAUUAGAUACCCGGGUAGUC
rnacentral:rRNA from 1 species